AUACAAUUAUAUACAUACAGUUCGGGUUUUAUAUAUUUGUCAUAUAUAAAAUUUAUUUAGAAGCAUAAAAAAAAUGUCUGCAAGGAACCGUGGCGGACCUCCGGUUCCGAUGGCGCCGGUACACGAGCCUCCAUUGUUCGGAAGGAACCGAGGUCCGAUUCCGAUGCCCAUGCCGAUGCCGAUGCCGUCACACGCAUUACUCGAAGAACUGAGAGAAUCUCAGUUUGUGCACGGUCACGGUCACAGGCCGCUACCGCCUCAUCCGGCGGUUAUAGAGGAGCGGUUAGCGGUUCAACAUCAGGAUAUUCAGGGACUGUUGAUUGAUAACCAGCGGUUGGCUGCGACACACGUUGCGCUUAAGCAGGAACUGGAAGCGGCGCAACAUGAGCUUCAACAAACGGAUCAUUUCGCGAGGAAUUUGUUGAUUGAGAAGGAUAUGCAGAUGAGGGAGUUGUAUGAGAAAUCGGCUAAAAUGGAACAUGAUCUUCACGGGAUGGAAGGGAUGCGAGCCGAGCUUAUGCAAGUUCAUGCUGAUGUUAAGGAGUUGACUGCUACUCGUCAGAAACUUACUGCACAGGUUCAGGCUAUGACCCAAGAACUUGCUAGAGCAAAUGCAGAUUUGCAGCAAGUUCCGGCACUUAAGUCAGAAAUUGGAGGGCUUAGACAGGAACUGCAACGUGCGAGGGCUGCAAUUGAACAUGAGAAGAAGGGGCAUGCAGAGAAUUAUGAGCAUGGUCAAGUGAUGGAAAAGAAUUUACUUUCUAUGGCUCGUGAGCUGGAAAAGUUGCGUGCUGAGAUGGCCAAUGCUGAGAAAAGGGCUCGUGCUGCUGCAGCAGCAGUUAAUCCAAAUCCAGGCUAUAACCCAAAUUAUGGCAAUGCUGAAGCUAGCUAUGCAGGGAAUUCUUAUCCUACAAAUUAUGGCAUGGGUACUACGAAUCAAAUGAAUCCAGUACAGCCUGGUGCAGAAGCUUAUCCUCAGUAUGGACCUGGACCUGGAUCUUGGGGCUCAUAUGACAUGCAACGGGCUCAAGGACACAGAUAGACAAUGCUAUGCUACGCUGUGGUAUCUUAGAUUGCUUAUCGGAGCUAUGGUACUUGGAAUUGAACCCUAGGUGUUUGCUUUGGGAGUGGCAGAACAAAGAUCUUCUGGAUUGUACUAGACAACGCAAAAUUCAGCAGUGAUAUCUUGCUGUCUGCAAACCUGUACUGCACUACACGGCUACCCAGGGCACCUGCCCAUUUUGAUCAUGGUCCGGGGGACCUUUUUGGUGGGAUUUUUGACCAUUUUUGAAAACUAGAAAGAUCUUGUUCAUUUCAAGGAAAUUUCAAAUAAAUGUGACCAAUAAGGAGGUGCCAUAAGGAGCGUGGGAAUGUUGCUCGGUUGCUCCGUUGACACUUUCAUGAUGGAAAUAUCUGGAUUUUCGCACAAUGCCCUUCUCAUUAACCCGUUUCUAACAUAUGCUCAUCGGAAUAUCUACACAGAAGCUAGUUGUGAAAUUAAACUCAAAGUUAUCAAAGUUCUAAAAUACGUGUAUAUGCAAUUUGACCAUCUUGGAACAUCCAUAAGAUACAUCCUCUUUAUUUAACUGGAUGCUUUUUGCUGUUAAGACAAAUAACUAACGAUCAACUUCUUUCUUUUGGCAAUUGAAGCAUAUAAUUUGUACAAA